rnacentral:lncRNA from 1 species
UCCUUUGAUGAAUGAAAUUUUACCUAGAUAACUAUUUUACACUUUUAUUUUGAAAAAUAUCUUACAUUAGAUCAUCUACUAUGUACCAGGUACCGUAUUUGCCAUUACAUUUAUACACAGAGAGAUAUAACAGUGAGCAUAACAGGCAUGGUCCCUGCCCUUACUGGGCCACAUCCUCUCUCAGGUUGACCUUCUCCACUUGGGCUGUUCUCAAUUUUCAAGAUCUUCACACUUAACAUUCACCAGCAUCCUUUCCUGAUCACUUUAACCUACUGUGUCCUCU